UACGAAGGGGCUAGCGUUGCUCGGAAUCACUGGGCGUAAAGCGCACGUAGGCGGAUUGCUAAGUCAGGGGUGAAAUCCUGGAGCUCAACUCCAGAACUGCCUUUGAUACUGGCGAUCUCGAGUCCGGGAGAGGUGAGUGGAACUGCGAGUGUAGAGGUGAAAUUCGUAGAUAUUCGCAAGAACACCAGUGGCGAAGGCGGCUCACUGGCCCGGUACUGACGCUGAGGUGGCGAAAGCGUGGGGAGCAAACAGG
rnacentral:rRNA from 1 species